CCGCCGGCGACCGGCGCACGGGUGAGUAACACGUAUGCAACCUGCCCCUGUCAGGGGGACAACCCGCCGAAAGGCGGGCUAAACCCGCGUACAUGCCACCGGGGCAUCCCGGAGGCAGGAAAGGCUUCGGCCGGACAGGGAUGGGCAUGCGGCGCAUUAGGCAGUAGGCGGGGUAACGGCCCACCUAACCGACGAUGCGUAGGGGUUCUGAGAGGAAGGUCCCCCACACUGGUGCUGAGACACGGACCAGACUCCUACGGGAGGCAGCAG
rnacentral:rRNA from 1 species